rnacentral:sRNA from 1 species
GCUUCGUCGUCUUCUUCUUCUUCG